rnacentral:lncRNA from 1 species
UUUAACAUAGUAGAGAGCUGAGUCUCACAAAUCAAAGGCUCUCUUUCUGGUGGAUCUAGAUCUAGGUGUUGUUUCUUUUGAGGUAAUUAAUUACUUUUGUUUUUACUUUAAAUUAUUCAAUGGUGGUUUAUCUUCAUCUUCGACAAAACAUACUCCAAUGGCGUCGUCUUCUUCAACAUCAUUCAUUAAGGAGAGCUAUCAAUACGAUGUGUUUUUGAGCUUCAGAUGUGAAAACACAGCAAGACGAAUGACGUCAAAUGGUAUAACCUAGACUACGUGUUCACCCUCCGGGACCCAUAAUAAUUAUGUCGUUGAGCAGAGGGGGAAUAGCUAACACGUCAUCAUCGAUAAUGUCAUCUAGUAGUGCGAACGGCUGAAAGUCGUCCAAAUCGUCUUCGGAUGCAGACUCGCUGUCUGACGUAAUAACCUGAACCUCCGGCACAUACUCGUCGUCGGAUACUAACUCCAUUGGAUCCACGUCGUCGUACACAUUGUUACCCUCAGACGAAGACAUUGUAACAUGGGGAAAUAAGUUGUUCGACAUAUGCAUUUACAAUUUGUUAUUACUUUACAUAUAUACACGAAAUGUAUGAUUCACAUAAUGUUCAUUUUAAGUUAUCCUAAUUGAGUCGUG